GAUGAACGCUGGCGGCGUGCCUAAUACAUGCAAGUCGAGCGAACAGACGAGGAGCUUGCUCCUCUGACGUUAGCGGCGGACGGGUGAGUAACACGUGGAUAACCUACCUAUAAGACUGGGAUAACUUCGGGAAACCGGAGCUAAUACCGGAUAAUAUAUUGAACCGCAUGGUUCAAUAGUGAAAGACGGUUUUGCUGUCACUUAUAGAUGGAUCCGCGCCGCAUUAGCUAGUUGGUAAGGUAACGGCUUACCAAGGCAACGAUGCGUAGCCGACCUGAGAGGGGGAGCGGCCACACUGGAAAUGAGACACGGUCCAGACCCCUACGGGAGGCAGGAGGAGGGAAUCUUCCGAAAUGGGCGAAAGCCUGACGGAGCCACGCCGCGGGAGUGAGGAAGGUCUGCGGGUCGUAAAACCUUUUUAUUAGGGAAGAAAAAAUGUGUAAGUAACCAUGCAGGUUUGGACGGUACCAAACCAGAAAGCCACGGCAAACUACGG
rnacentral:rRNA from 1 species